rnacentral:RNase_P_RNA from 1 species
GCUUGUGGGAAGUUCGUCGCCUGUCCUUGUGGCAGGAGGAAAGUCCGGGCAGCGUAGGGCAUCCUGCUUCCUAACGGGAAGGAUUUUUUGCGCCGGCGAGAAAGACAGCAAGUGCAACAGAAAGCAAACCAGCCGAUGGUUUCGGCUUGCCGGAACACAGGUGAUGGGUGAAAUGGUGGGGUAAGAGCCCACCGGUCUCGGUGGCAACAUCGGGAGCCAGGUAAACCUCAGGAGCUGAAAGACCAAAUAAACCGGCGGUUUAGGGCGGCCCGUCUGAUGCCGGUGGGUAGGUCGUUGGAGCCUGAUGGCGACGUCAGGCCUAGAUAAAUGACGACAAUCUGCUACGGCAGAUCACAGAACCCGGCUUAUGCACUGCAAGCCAUG